CAGGCUUAGUAUGUGUAGAAAAAAAACCGGUACUCUAUACUUCAUAAAAAUAAGUAGAGUUGUUGGUUGACAGAAUGGCUAUGAUUACAUGUGUCUAUACAUUAUGUUAGGCUCUCGGAGCCUUAUGAUAAAUACAUUCAACAGAAACAACUAAAGAUCUACCAUAAUCGACUAAUAAUUGGUGAAACUUGAGAUCCUCAUUAAUUGAAAUAAGAUGUUUUCAGGAAACUCUAUUGAUUCUUUGAUAUGAAUUUCAUUGUGAUCGACCACUGGUACAACGUAACUUGUCAACUAACAUUUUGUCUCUAAUUGAAUAUGCCCCUCAACUGCAUAGAUAAUGUUAAAUAUCUGAACGGAAAGACAGUACAUACACUCUAGUUCCGAUCAGGGAAUUGGCGAAUAUUAUAAACUGUGCCUGUUUAAAAUUAGUUACUUUUCCAUCGUUGACACCUUAAGAAGAAAAAACCUUACGCCUCAUAACAACUUUGGAAAAUAUUUUCGUUUGAUCUAUAGAAGGUUUAAUUUAGAUUGACCAGAAGGCGGGUGUUAUUUCAAUAUGGAAUUAAUUCUCUGUAGUAUGCAAAUAAUUCAACUCCAUUUAUAUAGUCUAUUAAUUGAUUUAUAAAGGCAACAGUAGUAUACCGCUGUUCAAAUUCUGUUUAAA
rnacentral:lncRNA from 1 species